rfam:Glossina pallidipes unplaced genomic scaffold Scaffold114, whole genome shotgun sequence.
ACUGAGGUCCCACUAUAGCGCGCAAAUAUGCAACCAGCCUCCGCGUAUUAAUAUUUAACGAUGAUCCCGCGGAGGAGAGUGGUAGAUGAAGUGGAAGGAGUGCAGGGUAGUUUUAGCUUGUAGGCGCCGUGGAUGGCGAAUCGUGCAUGCUGCUGGCACGAACCAGCAGUAUCUCGAAAAUUUCAACCCCUAGCUCGC